rnacentral:rRNA from 1 species
UACAUGGGGUGCAAACGUUGCUCGGAAUCAUUGGGCGUAAAGCGCGCGUAGGCGGUUACUUAAGUCGAAUGUGAAAGCCCUCGGCUUAACUGAGGAAGUGCAUCCGAAACUGAGUAGCUAGAGUACGAAAGAGGGUCGCGGAAUUCCCGGUGUAGAGGUGAAAUUCGUAGAUAUCGGGAGGAACACCGGUGGCGAAGGCGGCGACCUGGGUCGAGACUGACGCUGAGGCGCGAAAGCCAGGGGAGCAAACGGG